rnacentral:rRNA from 1 species
UACGAAGGGGGCUAGCGUUGCUCGGAAUCACUGGGCGUAAAGCGCACGUAGGCGGAUUGUUAAGUCAGGGGUGAAAUCCUGGAGCUCAACUCCAGAACUGCCUUUGAUACUGGCGAUCUCGAGUCCGGGAGAGGUGAGUGGAACUGCGAGUGUAGAGGUGAAAUUCGUAGAUAUUCGGAAGAACACCAGUGGCGAAGGCGACUUACUGGACACAUAUUGACGCUGAGGUGCGAAAGCGUGGGGAGCAAACAGG